AACGAACGCUGGCGGCAUGCCUAACACAUGCAAGUCGAACGAGACCUUCGGGUCUAGUGGCGCACGGGUGCGUAACGCGUGGGAACCUGCCCUUAGGUUCGGAAUAACUCCCCGAAAGGGGUGCUAAUACCGGAUAAUGUCUUCGGACCAAAGAUUUAUCGCCUUUGGAUGGGCCCGCGUUGGAUUAGCUAGUUGGUAGGGUAAAAGCCUACCAAGGCGACGAUCCAUAGCUGGUCUGAGAGGAUGAUCAGCCACACUGGGACUGAGACACGGCCCAGACCCCGACGGGGGGGAGCAGGGGGGAAUAUUGGACAAUGGGCGAAAGCCUGAUCCAGCAAUGCCGGGGGAGGGAUGAAGGCUUUAGGUUUGUAAAGCUCUUUUACCCGGGAUGAUAAUGACAGUACCGGGAGAAUAAGCCCCGGCUAACUCCGG
rnacentral:rRNA from 1 species